GAAACGCGAUAUGUAAUGUGAAUUGCAGAUUUCAGUGAAUCAUCGAAUCUUUGAACGCACCUUGCACCCUUUGGUAUUCCGAAGGGUAUGCCUGUUUGAGUGUCUUUGAACCCUCUCGAUCCGGCUUCGGUCGGAUCGGUCGUUGAGCGUGUGCCGGUGUCGAGCCGGCUCGCUUGAAAUGGAUCAGCUGGACAGCGGUCCGGGCGGUCUCCGCCCGGCCAAAGGCCUCGUCCGUCGAACGUCAUAAUGUAUUUCGUUUGCCAGGGCGUGGGCGGGUCAGCUUCGAAAAUGGGGGGGGAUCACCUCCCCUUGACCUCAGACCUCAGAUCAGGUAGGACUACCCGCCGAACUUAA
rnacentral:misc_RNA from 1 species